GCAUUGCAAGACUGCCAGUUCCAAGACAACUAUGCGGUUCAGGGGGUUUGCCUCACAGACUAUGCAGGAGCCUGGGCCAAUACAAUGUGCAAGAAAGGAACUAGCUCACAAAAGCUGAAUUUAAGGCUUGCAAGACCCAGGGACGCAAUCUAGCUGCUGAGAAGUUCAGAGUCAAACCUGAAUCUCACCUCUGCAAAGAGCACAGGACUCCAUGGCAAACGUUGUAUAUACGCAAGUCAUCCCUGGCACCACCUUAAUUUACUGCACCAGGCUUUCUUCAUUGUGAUGAUGUUCUCUCUCUUUUCUAAAAAAAAUAAAAAUAAAAAUAAAAUUUAAAAAAAUCCU